rnacentral:rRNA from 1 species
UACGAAGGGGGCUAGCGUUGCUCGGAUUGACUGGGCGUAAAGGGCGCGUAGGCGGAUAGUACAGUCAGGCGUGAAAUUCCUGGGCUCAACCUGGGGGCUGCGUUUGAUACGUAUUGUCUGGAGUUCGGAAGAGGGUCGUGGAAUUCCCAGUGUAGAGGUGAAAUUCGUAGAUAUUGGGAAGAACACCGGUGGCGAAGGCAGGUCUCUGGGCCGAUACUGACGCUGAGGAGCGAAAGCGUGGGGAGCGAACAGG